UGGAAAAAACCCAUCAGCUGCAAUGGCCCAGGGACCACACGCUAUCUAUUAAUAAGGGGAUCGCAACCCUUGGCACGGUGUGAUUGGCACCACGCUCAGCCAGUGAGUGUACCGGCCAUCCCUAUAUAGGAUCCGAACCCACGGCCUCGGCGCUACCAGCACUGCACUCUCCCGAGUGAGCCACGGGGCCGGCCCUAUGUGUCCUGGUUAUAAGGAUGAGUGGCUCUGAUCCAUGGUGCCUCCCAUCCCCGGGGGUGAAGGGGAGGCCACUACUGCUGCUGGAGGUUGCUGCUGCUAGUGCCCCCGGGAUCCUCUGCAGGGCCACUGCCACUACCAGACCUAUAAACUACCGGACCUGUAAGCUGCUGCUGCUGAGAAAGCUGAGGACUGAGCUCAUGUCAUCUGCCAACAGCUCCUGGAAUCUUUCCCAAUUACCUAGCAUGAACCUGCAUGUGAGGGGUCUGGUG